rnacentral:rRNA from 1 species
CCAGGUUUGAAAUGCAGAGGACGACGUGAGAGAUUACGUUUCCCUUCGGGGCCUCUGUGCAGGUGCUGCAUGGCUGUCGUCAGCUCGUGCCGUGAGGUGUUGGGUUAAGUCCCGCAACGAGCGCAACCCUUAUCGUUAGUUGCCAGCAUUUAAGGUGGGGACUCUAACGAGACUGCCUGGGUUAACCAGGAGGAAGGUGAGGAUGACGUCAAGUCAGCAUGGCCCUUAUGUCUGGGGCUACACACGUGCUACAAUGGUCGGUACAGAAGGCAGCAAAGCCGAGAGGUAGAGCAAAUCCUAGAAAGCCGAUCCCAGUUCGGACUGUAGUCUGCAACUCGACUACACGAAGUUGGAAUUGCUAGUAAUGGCGUGUCAGCAAUAUCGCCGUGAAUACGUUCCC